rnacentral:rRNA from 1 species
UCAAUUGUCUUAUAAUUGAAGACUGGAAUGAAUGGUUGAACGAAAUUAAAACUGUUUCAUUUAUAUUAAUUAGAAUUUGGCUUUUAAGUGAAGAGAUUUAAAUUUAAUUGAUAGACAAGAAGACCCUAUUGAGCUUUAAAUAAUUUUAAAACUAAAAAUUUAUUAUUAGAGAUUUAAAUUUUAAAUAUUUUUUUAGUUGGGGCGACUAAGGAACAGGGGUAGCUUCCUUUAUUUAUUAGAUUGAUGAAUUAUUGAUCCAGUAUUAAACUGAUUAAUAGAGAUAGUUACCAUAGGGAUAACAGCAUAAUCUUCUUGGGGAGUUCUUAUCGAAAAGGGGGGUUGUGACCUCGAUGUUGGAUUAAAAUAUCCUAAAGGUGUAGAGGC